rnacentral:lncRNA from 1 species
UGGCAAUUACUAAUGGAUAUUAGAAAACAUUAGCAAACUGAUGAGAGCGACAAUUAAAUUGUCUUUCUUGAAAUUCAUGAAAUGUCGGUCGUUUCAAGGUGGACAGAAAUCAAUUAAUGCGUAUGAUUGGACUACAAUCUUCACAGUAUUAAGAUUUUUCACCAAUGCCCAACUACCAUUUGACAAAAUCUUCACAAAACAAUGUAUACCAUUGAAUAGGG